GGAGGCAAGGUGGCAGUGAUCGGCAAGUUGUUAAUUGCUCAAGAAAUCCUACCGGUUGAAAAGAAAUACAGCAGCUGGAUGAAAGCACCUGAAGAAUUCAGUCCUGGGUUGCAGCAAGUCAGUGUGGAACUUGUGUGAGAAGAAUGAUAAACAGUUUGAGCAAAAGCAGGGUGAAUCACUGGAAGGGAA